AUGAACGCUAGCUACAGGCUUAACACAUGCAAGUCGAGGGGCAGCGCAGUGUAGCAAUACAUGGGCGGCGACCGGCGCACGGGUGCGUAACGCGUAUCCAACCUUCCCGUUACUCAGGGAUAGCCUUCCGAAAGGGAGAUUAAUACCUGAUGGUGUUCAAAUUCCGCAUGUUAUUUGAACUAAAGAUUCAUCGGUAAUGGAUGGGGAUGCGUCUGAUUAGGUAGUAGGCGGGGUAACGGCCCACCUAGCCGACGAUCAGUAGGGGUUCUGAGAGGAAGGUCCCCCACACUGGAACUGAGACACGGUCCAGACUCCUACGGGAGGCAGCAGUGAGGAAUAUUGGUCAAUGGGCGCGAGCCUGAACCAGCCAAGUAGCGUGCAGGAUGACGGCCCUAUGGGUUGUAAACUGCUUUUAUGCGGGAAUAAGAUCAGAUACGUGUAUCUGCGUGCAUGUACCGCAUGAAUAAGGACCGGCUAAUUCCGUG
rnacentral:rRNA from 1 species